rnacentral:lncRNA from 1 species
GCAUACCUGACAGAAAUAACUUAGGCAUACCCUGUAGGGUCCUAUCCAUGAGCAUGGAAUGUUCUUCCAUUUGUUUGUGUCCUCUUUUAUUUUGUUGAGCAGUGGUUUGUAGUUCUCCUUGAAGAGGUCCUUCACAUCCCAUGUAAGUUGGAUUCCUAGUUAUUUUAUUCUCUUUGAAGCAAUUGUGAAUGGGAGUUCAUUCAUGGUUUGGCUCUCUGUCUGUUAUUGGUGUAUAGGAAUGCUUGUGAUUUUUGCACAUUGAUUUUGUAUCCUGAGACUUUGCUGAAGUUUCUUAUCAGCUUAAGGAGAUUUUGGGCUGAGACAAUGGGGUUUUCUAAAUAUACAAUCAUGUCAUCUGCAAACAGGGACAAUUUGACUUCCUCUUUUCCUAAUUGAAUACCCUGUAUUUCUUUCUCCUGCCUAAUUGCCCUGGCCAGAACUUCCAACACUAUGUUGAAUAGGAGUGGUGAGAGAGGGCAUCCCUGUCUUGUGCCAGUUUUCAAAGGGAAUGCUUCCAGUUUUUUCCCCAUUGAGUAUGAUAUUGGCUGUCGGUUUGUCAUAAAUAGCUCUUAUUAUUUUGAGAUAUGUCCCAUCAAUACCUAAUUCAUUGAGAGUUUUUAGCAUGAAGGGCCAUUGAAUGUUGUUGAAGGCCUUUUCUUCAUCUAUUGAGAUAAUCAUGUGGUUUUUGUCUU